ACGGGAGGCAGCAGUGGGGGAUAUUGCACAAUGGGGGAAACCCUGAUGCAGCGACGCCGCGUGAGUGAUGAAGUAUUUCGGUAUGUAAAGCUCUAUCAGCAGGGAAGAAAAUGACGGUACCUGACUAAGAAGCUCCGGCUAAAUACGUGCCAGCAGCCGCGGUAAUACGUAGGGGGCAAGCGUUAUCCGGAUUUACUGGGUGUAAAGGGGGCGUAGACGGCAUGGCAAGUCUGAUGUGAAAACCCGGGGCUCAACCCCGGGACUGCAUUGGAAACUGUCAAGCUAGAGUGCAGGAGAGGUAAGUGGAAUUCCUAGUGUAGCGGUGGAAUGCGUAGAUAUUAGGAGGAACACCAGUGGCGAAGGCGGCUUACUGGACUGUAACUGACGUUGAGGCUCGAAAGCGUGGGGAGCAAACAGGAUUAGAUACCCUGGUA
rnacentral:rRNA from 1 species